rnacentral:lncRNA from 1 species
ACUUUUUAUUGAUCUGAAUCUUUAGGCUUCAUUUUGAAAUUUUGGGCCACGAACGCUUGAUCGCAAAAGUAACAGGUAUCAUGGUGAGGCCAGUUUCUAUUUUGCAUGUUGCCUUAUUUCUCUUCUAUCUGCAGUUUGCUUCCACGUUCUAUAUGUUUGCGAGGAAAUUUCAAAUCGUUUUGUAUGCUCAUUAAUUGGUGCAUCUAGAAUAUGUAUGUGAACCGUGUACCUUACGGAUUCCUUAAGGGCCUCAUGAUUGUUGGUGUUUUUUUUUUCAUAUGAAAACACCAAGGUUAUUAUCCUAACUAUCAUAGUUUGUACCAGCAGGAUUAUCAUAACAAUUAUGCAAUUUUUUUCCAGGUGAUUACAUAGUUAAAGGUAGUGACUUUUUUAGUCCUAUGUGAUUUCUUAUCAACUGAGCUAUCAAAUUGUGCAUUAUGUACUUGGUCACAACGUUGUAACCGGCACCCUCGCGCCAAGGCACGUUUCCGAUCUCAUUGGAUACUUUUGUACUUUAGUUAGAAGCAUAGUUGUCAGAAGCAAGCAUAAUGGCCAUAUGAUGAAGCCGAUAAGUGUUUAGUAGAGACUCCAAUCAAUUCGAUCUCUCCAUGAUCUUUACCGCAUAUGAUAUUUUCCUUCUGGGUAUUUAACUUUGUCAAGUGCAUGCUAUGGUUCAGAGCAAAAUUCAGUUUCCAGUUAUAAUUCAGUGAUUUUCUUACCUUGUAUUUUAUUUUGCAUAAUUCUAGAAAUUGCGGUGGCCAUCCGCAGAUCUACAGUCCCUGGUUUGCUUUGUCGAGGUAUGAUCUUUCAUAAUGUGUUGCAUCUUGCAAUAUUAUUUGAUUUGUUCUUGCCAUCAUUUUUCAGUCUCUUGCAAUAUUAUUUGAUUUAUUUCUCUCAUAAACAGAGCACAAGUUGCCCCUUCUAAUUGAUCUAUCUUGUAUCUAUAUGGUGCAGUGGUGUGUUAGAAUAUGUACAGUCCCAUGUUUUGUUUUCUGCAUUACUUUGUUGUUCUCUAAGCUCUACAAAUAGUGAGACCAAAUUAUGUUCAGUAUAUUCCUUACAUGGUAGAUCCACGGAUGUCCACCCCAAUUUCUACAAUUUUUUAAUACAACAAACUACCAUUUUUUAAUCAUACACUACCUCCUCUGACAGAGAUGGUCGUCGUCCCAUCUUUGUGGUUUAGGAAUAUGCUCUUUUAUUUUUCAAGCAGAAAAUUGAUUAAGGUUUGUGUGAUCAAGUUUAUGUGUUGCCUGCUAUGCAGUGUCCUAGGCAAGAGGACCAAGUGUGGGCGGGUAGGUAUCGGCAAGGCGGGCUGUCGGCAUGGUGUUGGAGUUGGUCGGUAGUGGUGCACCUACGCCAUGUAUGGAUCAAUACUCUAGGAGGUUCCAUUGAGGCCCAGUCUAUCCAGGUAGUUUGUUAUGCUACUGACUUAGAUACACUUUAUUUAUCAAGGAUUUUUGUAUAUCAUAAUAUCAAAGGCAAAAGGGUCUGUCUAUGGAUGCACUUCUUAUGGUCAUGUACAUUUCAGAGCCACUGUUAUUCAUCAAGAACAUAAUUUAACUAAAGCUCGUUAAAAAAAUUGCCCAUAGAAAUAAUCACUUUGGAUUGGUAGUGUCAAAAGGAUGCAGAACAUUUGUAACAUUUCUUCCCAUAUUCAUUAGACUUUCACUCUGCUGUUGCAUUAGUCAAGUUUAAUUUCAUUACAUAUGUGUGCAUGUAUCAGUUUUCAUAUUUAAAGUGAUAUAUUUAAGAAUUAUCAGAAAUUUUGUCAAAUUUGCUAGGCACAAAACAGAGAUCUGGAAGCAGGACAAACGUCACUGAUAUUUUGUAGGUCAUUUUUGGUGUCGCAUCUCAAAUGGAAUGGCACUCAUGGAGGCAAUUGAACCAAGCUAUGGCAUUGUAGUUUUAUCUCUCUAUUGCCACUGUUGGCUUUUGCUCUCUUGUGUUCCUGCUCAUAUUACUGAACUUAAUGUUAGCUAAUUAGCUUUUGUAAUUAUACGACCGUGCUGAAUUGGAUGUUGCCUUGCUUCUGAGACGGGUUAGCUUUUAUAAUCUCAUGACCAUAUUGAAUUUGAUGAUGUUACACUUCUGGUACAGUGUGGAUGUUUCUUCUUACCAUUGAACUCGAUAAUUGGUUGUCCUGUUACAUCUGCUAAAUUUGCCUUCAUACUAAUGCAUCAUGCCGCUUGAUCUUCCACGGCUUGACCAUAUCGUUAGGAC